AUUAGAUGAGCCUAUAUUAGAUUAGCUAGUUGGUGGAGUAAUAGCCUACCAAGGCAAUGAUCUAUAGCUGAUCUGAGAGGAUGAUCAGCCACACUGGAACUGAGAUACGGUCCAGACUCCUACGGGAGGCAGCAGUGGGGAAUAUUGGACAAUGGGCGAAAGCCUGAUCCAGCCAUGCCGCAUGAGUGAAGAAGGCCUUUGGGUUGUAAAGCUCUUUUAGUGAGGAAGAUAAUGACGGUACUCACAGAAGAAGUCCUGGGUAACUCCGUGCCAGCAGCCGCGGUAAUACGGAGAGGGCUAGCGUUAUUCGGAAUUAUUGGGCGUAAAGGGCGCGUAGGCUUAUUAAUAAGUUACAAGCGAAAUCCUGAGGCUUAACCUUGGAAUUGCUUUUAAAAGUAUUAAUCUAGAGAUUGAAAGAGGAUAGAGGAAUUCCUGAUGUAGAGGUAAAAUUCGUAAAUAUUAGGAGGAACACCAGUGGCGAAGGCGUCUAUCUGGUUCAAAUCUGACGCUGAAGCGCGAAGGCGUGGGGAGCAAACAGGAUUAGAUACCCUGGUAGUCCACGCUAUAAACGAUGAAUGUUAAAUAUGGGAAG
rnacentral:rRNA from 1 species